rnacentral:misc_RNA from 1 species
GAUGAAGAACGCAGCGAAAUGCGAUAAGUAGUGUGAAUUGCAGAAUUCAGUGAAUCAUCGAAUCUUUGAACGCACAUUGCGCCCCUUGGUAUCCCGAGGGGCAUGCCUGUUUGAGCGUCAUUUCACCACUCAAGCCUGGCUUGGUGUUGGGCGACGUCCUCUUUGGGGACGCGCCUCGAAACGCUCGGCGGCGUGGCACCGGCUUUAAGCGUAGCAGAAUCUUUCGCUUUGGAAGUCGGGGCCCCGUCUGCCGGAAGACCUGCUCGCAAGGUUGACCUCGGAUCAGGCAGGGAUACCCGCUGAACUUAAGCAUAUCAAUAAGCGGAGGA